rnacentral:rRNA from 1 species
AGGCCUAACACAUGCAAGUCGAGCGGCAGCGACUUAACUGAACCUUCGGGGAACGUUAAGGGCGGCGAGCGGCGGACGGGUGAGUAAUGCCUGGGAAUAUGCCCUGAUGUGGGGGAUAACUAUUGGAAACGAUAGCUAAUACCGCAUAAUCUCUUCGGAGCAAAGAGGGGGACCUUCGGGCCUCUCGCGUCAGGAUUAGCCCAGGUGGGAUUAGCUUGUUGGUGAGGUAAUGGCUCACCAAGGCAACGAUCCCUAGCUGGUCUGAGAGGAUGAUCAGCCACACUGGAACUGAGACACGGUCCAGACUCCUACGGGAGGCAGCAGUGGGGAAUAUUGCACAAUGGGGGAAACCCUGAUGCAGCCAUGCCGCGUGUGUGAAGAAGGCCUUCGGGUUGUAAAGCACUUUCAGUAGGGAGGAAGGUAGUGUAGUUAACACCUGCAUUAUUUGACGUUACCUACAGAAGAAGCACCGGCUAACUCCGUGCCCAGCCAGCCGC